GAAAAUACGUUGAAGAGAAGAGUAGCUGAUAAAUUUAGGUAAGAGAACCCGGUUGGUGAGAAAGGGGACUAAAUGAGUGAGUGAAGAUGAGCUCUGAGUGCUUUACUGGGUUUACGCUUAGUAGACGGUGGCAACCGUUAUAUUGCCGGGUUUCAGUAGGAAUCGUCGAGGUGUAGUUUGUAAGAGCUACAUAAACUAGGGUGGUAACACGGAGUUUUUCGUCCCUUUG
rnacentral:ncRNA from 1 species